rnacentral:rRNA from 1 species
GACGAACGCUGGCGGCGUGCUUAACACAUGCAAGUCGAACGGUGAAGCGCCUUCCUUUUUGGUGGGUGUGGAUGAGUGGCGAACGGGUGAGUAACACGUGAGUAACCUGCCCCCUUCUUCUGGAUAACCGCAUGAAAGUGUGGCUAAUACGGGAUAUUCUGGGUCUGUCGCAUGAUGGGUCUGGGAAAGAUAUUGUUUCGGUGGGGGAUGGGCUCGCGGCCUAUCAGCUUGUUGGUGGGGUGAUGGCCUACCAAGGCGGUGACGGGUAGCCGGCCUGAGAGGGUGGACGGUCACACUGGGACUGAGACACGGCCCAGACUCCUACGGGAGGCAGAAGUGGGGAAUAUUGCACAAUGGGCGCAAGCCUGAUGCAGCGACGCCGCGGGAGGGAUGGAGGCCUUCGGGUUGUGAACCUCUUUCGCCAGUGAAGCAGGCCUGCCUCGUUUGUGGGUGGGUUGACGGUAGCUGGAUAAGAAGCGCCGGCUAACUACGUG